UACGUAGGAUCCAAGCGUUAUCCGGAAUCACUGGGCGUAAAGCGUGCGUAGGCGGCGUGUUAAGUGAGAUGCGAAAUCUUGUGGCUCAACCAUAUAGACUGUGUCUCAUACUGGCAUGCUAGAGAAUGGCAGAGGCAAGUGGAAUUACCGGUGUAGCAGUGAAAUGCGUAGAUAUCAGGAGGAAUACCGAUGGCGAAGGCAGGGCUCGGGGCUGACACUGACGCUCAUGCACGAAAGCGUGGGGAGCAAACAGG
rnacentral:rRNA from 1 species